rnacentral:rRNA from 1 species
AGCGAACGCUGGCGGCAUGCUUUACACAUGCAAGUCGAACGGUAACAGGGUGCUUGCACCGCUGACGAGUGGCGAACGGGUGAGUAAUGCGUCGGAACGUGCCGAGUAGUGGGGGAUAACGCAGCGAAAGUUGUGCUAAUACCGCAUACGUACUGAGGUAGAAAGUGGGGGACCUUCGGGCCUCACGCUAUUCGAGCGGCCGACGUCUGAUUAGCUAGUAGGUGAGGUAAAGGCUCACCUAGGCGACGAUCAGUAGCGGGUCUGAGAGGAUGAUCCGCCACACUGGGACUGAGACACGGCCCAGACUCCUAGGGGAGGCAGCAGUGGGGAAUUUUGGACAAUGGGCGAAAGCCUGAUCCAGCCAUGCCGCGUGUCUGAAGAAGGCCUUCGGGUUGUAAAGGACUUUUGUCGGGGAGGAAAUCCCCAGCGUUAAUACCGCUGGGGGAUGACAGUACCUGAAGAAUAAGCACCGGCUAACUACGUGCCAGCCGCCGCGGUAAGAC